UCUCGCUCUUAUCUUUAGCCCCGUCCUUGAGCGCGAUAAAAAGCGAAGCAAGUCAAGAAAGGUUUCAGACAGAUGGGUUCGAGAGGGGCGAAUUUGGUGCUAUCGAGGGCCAAUAGAAUGAGGGCGAAGUUGCAAUCGGCACUGGAAGCGACGGCUUUGGAGAUCGACGACGUGUCGUACCAGCACGCCGGCCAUGCCGCUGUCAGGGGCACUGCGGAUAGCGAGACUCACUUCAACGUUAAGAUCGUGUCACCGAAGUUCAACGGGCAGAGCCUGGUGAAAAGGCAUCGUCUUGUCUAUGAUGCGUUAGCCGAUGAACUUCAAUCUGGACUACACGCGGUCUCCAUUGUGGCCAAGACACCCCAGGAAGCCGCCGCCGCCAAAUAAAGCUCCGUUGAAAGAGUUCUGAAGGCUAUAAAACUGAUUUCGAUGCAGAUGAAGCUGAGGGUGAGCUUGAGGAUUCGCCUCCGCCUGAUGAGUGAUAUGGGAUCACUCGUAAUUGUAUUGGACUUGUAUUAUAUUUUAUUUUUGGAUAACUGUAUAACUCUUUUUUAAUGAUUUUACUUAUGUUAAUUUGUAUUAAAAAUCCUGGUACUUAGUUGACUUACUUAAAUUA